CAGAUUAAAUCAAUGAUUUUAUUUGUUUGCAAACUGAUAUGUGACAUGUAUUAAUGCCAAAAAUAACGUGCAAAACCGGCAACAACAACAACAACAACAACAACAAAAAUGUAGAACAGGUGACCAGUCUGGCACCCUAAUCCCUAUGUAGUGCACUAGUUAAACAAGGCUCUAAUCCCUAUGUAGUGCACUAGUUAAACAAGGCUCUAAUCCCUAUGUAGUGCACUAGUUAAACAAGGCUCUAAUCCCUAUGUAGUGCACUAGUUAAACAAGGCUCUAAUCCCUAUGUAGUGCACUAGUUAAACAAGGCUCUAAUCCCUAUGUAGUGCACUAGUUAAACAAGGCUCUAAUCCCUAUGUAGUGCACUAGUUAAACAAGGCUCUAAUCCCUAUGUGACUCUAUUAGAACAGACAUACCAGGUGAAGACGGUCAUGUGACUUUAUUAGAACAGACAUACCAGGUGAAGACGGUCAUGUGACUCUAUUAGAACAGACAUACCAGGUGAAGACGGUCAUGUGACUCUAUUAGAACAGACAUACCAGGUGAAGACGGUCAUGUGACUUUAUUAGAACAGACAUACCAGGUGAAGACGGUCAUGUGACUUUAUUAGAACAGACAUACCAGGCGAAGACGGUCAUGUGACUUUAUUAGAACAGUAAAUGGUGAAGACGGUCAUGUGACUUUAUUAGAACAGACAUACCAGGUGAAGACGGUCAUGUGACUCUAUUAGAACAGACAUACCAGGUGAAGACGGUCAUGUGACUCUAUUAGAACAGACAUACCAGGUGAAGACGGUCAUGUGACUUUAUUAGAACAGACAUACCAGGUGAAGACGGUCAUGUGACUCUAUUAGAACAGUAAAUGGUGAAGACGGUCAUGUGACUUUAUUAGAACAGUAAAUGGUGAAGACGGUCAUGUGACUUUAUUAGAACAGUAAAUGGUGAAGACGGUCAUGUGACUUUAUUAGAACAGUAAAUGGUGAAGACGGUCAUGUGACUCUAUUAGAACAGUAAAUGGUGAAGACGGUCAUGUGACUCUAUUAGAACAGUAAAUGGUGAAGACGGUCAUGUGACUCUAUUAGAACAGUAAAUGGUGAAGACGGUCAUGUGACUCUAUUAGAACAGUAAAUGGUGAAGACGGUCAUGUGACUCUAUUAGAACAGUAAAUGGUGAAGACGGUCAUGUGACUCUAUUAGAACAGUAAAUGGUGAAGACGGUCAUGUGACUCUAUUAGAACAGUAAAUGGUGAAGACGGUCAUGUGACUCUAUUAGA